GAUGAAAACAUAAAUGGAUUCCCAGAAUCAUAGUUGAGAUUACACAUUUAAAACAUAGGAAAGCAACACACCAAUAAUACCUGAGUUUAAACAUAUUGUUCAUUCAAACUAGAGAUUACACACUAAAUUAAAAAAAGAGCAACGCAUUAACAACUGAGUGACCACAUAGAAAAGCUAGCAACACACAUGAUCCACGAAGAACACAGUUUGAGAUUACACCAAACUAAGACAUAGAAGCAGAAGUCACACCUGAAUGAAAACAUAAGAACUCUUCUCAUGACUCUAGCAUUUCACAGCCAAAAUGCCACUGGAUCCAUACAGACGGAACCGAUUUUUGCUUCAUGAGGCAGGCUGUACCAACGACUCUGACCCUUGCAGCUUUUAAGCUUCAAACAGUCUCCUUUCGGGUCAUAACUGAGGUUGAAGGUCCUAAGAUGAUACAUACAGCGGCCGCCUUGGGGCCCACCUCCCACAAAAUCUGACAUAUCAUCCACAUC
rnacentral:lncRNA from 1 species